rnacentral:lncRNA from 1 species
CACACAGAUGCAAGGUCUCCUGAUGGCAGAAAACCUUAUAACCAGAGACGGGGUUACUCCGUGUUAGCCAGGAUGGUCUCGAUCUCCUGACCUCGUGAUCCACCUGCCUUGGCCUCCCAAAGUGCUGGGAUUCUGUAAUCCCAGUGAGCCACCGCGCCUGGCCCAUAAUCAACCUCAGCUGCCAACGCCAGAAUCAACCUCAGCUGCCAAAUGCUAGACUGAAAAAAGAAUGUAAACAGCUUGAUGGAGGGGAGGAUCCUGGUGCACCUGUGGUUUUGACAGCUUUUGCUGCUGCUUGAGGAGGAAACAGGUUGCCUGUUUGUUCUUCAAGAGCACUUCUGGCAUCCAGGUAUUAUGCAGGCAUGCACUGCCAGCUGUGAAAGAUGCCGCUUCCUUGUCACUUCAGAGAAUGAUGCUUCUACAGAAGAUCCCUCUUGCUAUUUCAUUCAGGGAGCUCGGGAGAGGAAGACAAAAAGAAUCAAAUGCAAA